AUGAGUCCUACGUUGUGUCUUUUCUAAUUCAAUUUCCGACACUUCUGCCGGUCGGUAGUAGUGUAUGCAGCAGGGGGGUCUGGGUUUCUCUUUUCUUUCGCAGGUAGCAGUAGCAGCAACGGAGCAUCAACGGACGACGGAGGCACAGUACCGGGACAACGGUGGAUCCACAGGUACAAAUAUUCACAAAUCGCUGGCAUGUGGAUUGUUGGUUGGAUUUCUGGUGCUACAUCGUUGGAAUUCAUCGAAAACUGCCGCGGAUUGCGGUACCAGGCAUGUUGUUAUUUCGCUUCGUUGAACUUCGUCGGGAUGAUCAGCAAGCGGCAAGAGGCAUAUUUUGUUGAUGGAUGUACGGCGACGAUGCGGGCAAGUGGCCAACGGAUUGCUGGUAGUGAGUCAUCCGCAACGAUGACCAGGCGACCAGGAUGAAUUUGGUUGUUGCAAGCUGCAUAUUUUGUAUCGCGCAUCAGCUCCUGCAGAUAUUCUCUCUUCCAAUGGACCCAGAAUUUUUGGACGAGCUGCUGCCAGUUUUGAUACGUUCCGAGCAAGCCAGUCGGGAGAUGCUGAUAAUCUGGGUCGGGCAAGGCGGUGGACGAUGUUCCGAUGAGGAAGUGCGCCGGUGUCAGCGCAGCCAGAUCGUUCGGGUCGUCGGAGAUGGGCAGCAGAGGACGAGAAUUCAUCAUGGCUUCUAUUUGUGUUAGCACCGUGUAAUAGCCCUCGAAUGUGAGACGAGUACUACCGAGUUGUCUGAAUAAAUGUUUUUUGGCACUUUUGAC